GCCGGAUUGGCGCAACUGGAAGCGCAACCGCCUUGUAAGCGGAAGGUUGCGGGUUCGACUCCCGUGUCCGGCUCCA
rnacentral:tRNA from 1 species